rnacentral:rRNA from 1 species
GUUAGGAAUAUUGGACAAUGGGCGAAAGCCUGAUCCAGCCAUGCCGCGUGAACGAUGAAGGCCUUCGGGUUGUAAAGUUCUUUAGCCGAUGAUUAUAAUGACUGUAGUCGGAAAUUAAGCCCCGGCUAACUUCGUGCCAGCAGCCGCGGUAAUACGAAGGGGGCGAGCGUUAUUCGGAAUCACUGGGCGUAAAGCGUGCGUAGGCGGUUUUGUAAGUUAGGAGUGAAAGCCCAGGGCUCAACCUUGGAAUUGCUCUUAAAACUGCAAGGCUCGAAUCUCGGAGAGGAUAGCGGAAUUUCCAGUGUAGCAGUGAAAUGCGUAGAUAUUGGAAGGAACACCAGUGGCGUAAGCGGCUAUCUGGACGAGUAUUGACGCUGAGGCACGAAAGCGUGGGGAUCAAACAGGAUUAGAUACCCCGGUAGUCC